rnacentral:rRNA from 1 species
AGUGAACGCUGGCGGUAGGCCUAACACAUGCAAGUCGAACGGCAGCACAGUAAGAGCUUGCUCUUACGGGUGGCGAGUGGCGGACGGGUGAGGAAUACAUCGGAAUCUACUUUUUCGUGGGGGAUAACGUAGGGAAACUUACGCUAAUACCGCAUACGACCUACGGGUGAAAGCAGGGGAUCUUCGGACCUUGCGCGAUUGAAUGAGCCGAUGUCGGAUUAGCUAGUUGGCGGGGUAAAGGCCCACCAAGGCGACGAUCCGUAGCUGGUCUGAGAGGAUGAAUCCCCGCCUGAGAACUGGAGCCGCGACCCGGCGUCCGAGGGGGGGCCCAGGUGGGAAUUGGUGGCAAAGGGGGGGAAGCUUGCACCACCCGCGGCGGGGGGAUGAAGAAGCCCUUCGGUUGGUAAGCCCUUUUUGUGGGGAAAAAAAGGCUGCGGCUUUAACCCCCCCUGUUUGACGGUAACCAAAAAAGAAGCCCCGGCUAACUUCGGU